rnacentral:rRNA from 1 species
UACGUAGGUGGCGAGCGUUAUCCGGAAUUACUGGGCGUAAAGCGCACGCAGGCGGCUUUUUAAGUUUGACGUGAAAACUCCUAGCUUAACUGGGAGAGGACGUUGAAGACUGGAAGGCUUGAGGCAAUGAGAGGGGUGCGGAAUUCCGGGUGUAGUGGUGGAAUGCGUAGAGAUCCGGAGGAACACCAACGGCGCAAGCAGCACCCUGGCCGAGGACUGACACUGAGGGACGAAAGCGUGGGGAGCGAACAGG